GACGAACGCUGGCGGCGUGCCUAAUACAUGCAAGUUGAGCGCUGAAGGUUGGUACUUGUACCAACUGGAUGAGCAGCGAACGGGUGAGUAACGCGUGGGGAAUCUGCCUUUGAGCGGGGGACAACAUUUGGAAACGAAUGCUAAUACCGCAUAAAAACUUUAAACACAAGUUUUAAGAUUGAAAGAUGCAAUUGCAUCACUCUAAGAUGAUCCCGCGUUGUAUUAGCUAGUUGGUGAGGUAAAGGCUCACCAAGGCGAUGAUACAUAGCCGACCUGAGAGGGGGAUCGGCCACAUUGGGACUGGGACACGGCCCAAACUCCUUCGGGAAGCAGCAGUAGGGGAUCUUCGGCAAUGGACGGAAGGCUGACCGGGCAACGGCGCGGGGGGGGAGAAGGGUUUCGGAUCGUAAAACUCUGUUGGUAGGGAAGAACGUUAGUGGGAGUGGAAAGCGCAUCAAGUGACGGUAACUACCCAGAAAGGGACGGCUAACUACGUG
rnacentral:rRNA from 1 species